rnacentral:rRNA from 1 species
UCUUGGUCAUUUAGAGGAAGUAAAAGUCGUAACAAGGUUUCCGUAGGUGAACCUGCGGAAGGAUCAUUAAAGAAAUUUAAUAAUUUUGAAAAUGGAUUUUUUUGUUUUGGCAAGAGCAUGAGAGCUUUUACUGGGCAAGAAGACAAGAGAUGGAGAGUCCAGCCGGGCCUGCGCUUAAGUGCGCGGUCUUGCUAGGCUUGUAAGUUUCUUUCUUGCUAUUCCAAACGGUGAGAGAUUUCUGUGCUUUUGUUAUAGGACAAUUAAAACCGUUUCAAUACAACACACUGUGGAGUUUUCAUAUCUUUGCAACUUUUUCUUUGGGCAUUCGAGCAAUCGGGGCCCAGAGGUAACAAACACAAACAAUUUUAUCUAUUCAUUAAAUUUUUGUCAAAAACAAGAAUUUUCGUAACUGGAAAUUUUAAAAUAUUAAAAACUUUCAACAACGGAUCUCUUGGUUCUCGCAUCGAUGAAGAACGCAGCGAAAUGCGAUACGUAAUGUGAAUUGCAGAAUUCCGUGAAUCAUCGAAUCUUUGAACGCACAUUGCGCCCCUUGGUAUUCCAAGGGGCAUGCCUGUUUGAGCGUCAUUUCCUUCUCAAACAUUCUGUUUGGUAGUGAGUGAUACUCUUUGGAGUUAACUUGAAAUUGCUGGCCUUUUCAUUGGAUGUUUUUUUUCCAAAGAGAGGUUUCUCUGCGUGCUUGAGGUAUAAUGCAAGUACGGUCGUUUUAGGUUUUACCAACUGCGGCUAAUCUUUUUUUAUACUGAGCGUAUUGGAACGUUAUCGAUAAGAAGAGAGCGUCUAGGCGAACAAUGUUCUUAAAGUUUGACCUCAAAUCAGGUAGGAGUACCCGCUGAACUUAAGCAUAUCAAUAAGCGGAG